rnacentral:rRNA from 1 species
UGGGGAAUUUUCGACAAUGGGGGAAACCCUGAUCGAGCCAUCCCGCGUGUGCGAUGAAGGCCUUCGGGUUGUAAAGCACUUUUGUCAGGGAAGAAAAGUCACUUACUAAUACUGGGUGAUGAUGACGGUACCUGAAGAAUAAGCACCGGCUAACUACGUGCCAGCAGCCGCGGUAAUACGUAGGGUGCAAGCGUUAAUCGGAAUUACUGGGCGUAAAGCGUGCGCAGGCGGUUUGGAAAGAAGGAUGUGAAAUCCCAGGGCUCAACCUUGGAACUGCAUUCUUAACUGCCAAACUAGAGUAUGUCAGAGGGGGGUAGAAUUCCACGUGUAGCAGUGAAAUGCGUAGAGAUGUGGAGGAAUACCGAUGGCGAAGGCAGCCCCCUGGGAUAAUACUGACGCU